CGGACGGGUGAGUAACGCGUGGGUAACCUGCCUCAUACAGGGGGAUAACAGUUAGAAAUGACUGCUAAUACCGCAUAAGACCACAGCACCGCAUGGUGCAGGGGUAAAAACUCCGGUGGUAUGAGAUGGACCCGCGUCUGAUUAGCUAGUUGGUGAGGUAACGGCCCACCAAGGCGACGAUCGGUAGCCGGACUGAGAGGUUGAACGGCCACAUUGGGACUGAGACACGGCCCAG
rnacentral:rRNA from 1 species